AUGAAACCAUAUAUGUGUAAAUAUAGAAGACUAUGAAAUAUGCUUUAUAUAUAGGACAAUUUAACUUUCUGUUUAUUUCUGCUGUUUAAUUGGAAAUCUCAUCUGUAUGUGUUUAAGAUGUCAAAAGAAAAACAAUCAGUUGCUAAUCUUCGCAAAAGAUUUGAGAGUACAAGCGACGACACUGUUGACAAACCAGUUGAAAAUUUGAGACAUCAAGUUUCAGUUAUUGAAAAAGAAUCUUCCCAACAAAAAACAAAUACGUCUCAAGAACAGGCUAGUGCAAUUCAUUCUAUUCUUUGUACAAGUUCUUCCAUAGUAUUUACCAAUUAAUAAUGAAGAAAUAACCUUUGGAUAGUUUAUGUUAUUUGAAAAAAUCAUUUCUGGUAUUGGUACUUCGAUAAUGAAUUAAAAUGCCGUUAAAAUAAGUGUACACGUUUUAAUAUUCUUUUUACCAUGAUUAAUUAGCAUGACAACCAAUCUUUAUCAUCGACACAAUCACCUUUAUCACCCAAACGGCCACCGUUAUCACCCAAACAGCCACCUGUAUCACCCAAACAGCCACCUUUAUCACCCAAACGGCCACCUUUACCACCGAAACCGAAACCACAGCCGAAACCAACAAAACAACCACCUAAAGAAGAACCCGCCAGUCAGCGUUUCAAUGCAAAAACAAGGUUGUCGGCGGAUAAAGAACAAGAUUCCGAAGUGAUGCGUGAGGGAAACAAAAGGCAACUACCAGACGAAGUGAAUGUUAAUACUGGUACGCCGGACAAAGUAGAACUACGACCUUUAUUUACAUCGCCUCUUAACAGCGAAAGUGAAGAUAAGACAGAAUCACUACUUGACAUUGACAACAAACUUUCUGAAAAUACGGAAAUGGUAAGACAUCUUCAAUAUCAGUAGUUCUUUAAUGGUUGUUU